rnacentral:tRNA from 1 species
GAGGGUAUAGCUCAAGUGGUAGAGUACAUGCUUAACAUGCACAAGGUCCUGGGUUCAAUUCCAAGUACCGCUA